rnacentral:lncRNA from 1 species
UGAAGAGCAUAUAGUUGCAUCUACCUUUCUUUAUUCGUAUACAGCUGCUCGUUUCACUCAUCCUAUUGGAUCACUGUCUCUUUGGGACUUCAUGGUCAGCUCCUUAAAUAUGCUCUUAUCAGUGUUCUAGAUUCCUUGGCUUAAAAUCUCUUUACAGUCCAAUCCAUUUCUCUCUCAUCCUUGUAGUUCUUGUUUCUUCAUUCUGUUUUUAAUGUUUUGGUAAAAACCCCCAAGGGAAAGCAGUUAUUGCUUUGUUCAGAAAAGUUCUGAAUAAUGUAAGCUCUGCUUAAAUGUGUGCUAUGACCAAACAAGGAACAUAAGGAAUUUGUAAAAGGAGUAACUCAGGGACCCUUAGACCCAAAUCUUCCCUUUAGUGUUUUAUGUAAUUUCAUGAACUUUUGAAAAACACCAAAUUUUGUUACAAGUUGAAACAUGUAUUACAAAAUCAUAGACUCAGUGGUUUUAAAGAGACUUUAGAUUCAUUUAGUUUUAGUCCAGUUAUAUCUAUUCAGUGUCACUUGAUUUCUGAGUGUUCUCUACUGCCCAUAUAUAUGAGACGGUUUUCUAUACAGUGAACUGAAACCUACAGUUUUCACGCACUGGCUGCUGUUCUCAGCACUGUUUGUGGAAUGAUAGCUGACAUGUGUGAAGACAGCCACCCUAAGCCCUCCUAAGUAGUUUUUCUCCAGGAAGAAUAGACCUUGUUCCUCUGUAUCCUGGCCUGAAGUUCUUUUGUCAUCCUAUAUGAAUAUAUAAAAUGUUGAGUUUUUUGGAAUGUUUUGGAUUAUUUACCACUAUGUCCCCUUCUCUAUUAGUAUAAGUAAUAACAAUGAGGUUAUAUAAAGCAAGUUAAUAGGUUUUUAUGGCAAAUGAAAAAUAUAUAAGAUAAAUUAGUUGAAGGAACCUAUGAGAUGCUAUUUGGGAUUUACCUCAUAGAUCAGAAAAAGCUAUUUAUCCUUUUGUGUGUGUGUGUGUGUGUGUGUGUGUGUAUCAAAUAGGGAGCAGGGAAAGAGGACAGUGGGAUGAUAGAAACUAAUAUGGGUGAUGAUUUAUUUGCUCUAUGGCACUUCCUUCACUUUAUUACACCAUUUGUAUGUUACUGUCUUUCAGUUACCAUUACUAUCAUUGAUUAGCUGCUCAUUUCAUAAAUAUAGCAAAUUCAAUAUUUUGUCACCCUCCACAUGAGAAUUGUUAUUGUUUAACUGUAAAAAAGUG